rnacentral:rRNA from 1 species
UACGAAGGGUGCAAGCGUUAAUCGGAAUUACUGGGCGUAAAGCGUGCGUAGGCGGCUUGUUAAGUCUGCUGUGAAAUCCCCGGGCUCAACCUGGGAAUGGCAGUGGAUACUGGCAAGCUAGAGUGUGUCAGAGGAUGGUGGAAUUCCCGGUGUAGCGGUGAAAUACGUAGAUAUCUGGAGGAACACCGGUGGCGAAGGCGGCGAUCUGGCCCAACAUUGACACUGAGACCCGAAAGCGUGGGGAGCAAACAGG